rnacentral:misc_RNA from 1 species
UUUUUUUCUAAAUGCAUUUUACAUUGCGUAAAAGUCCACCAGAAAAACUACAAAAAUUGAGGCCACUAGCCUGAUUUACAUAAAGACCCAAAACCAAAUGCAGCCCAGCAAAAAAGCCCCUACCCCUUCCCCAGCCAAAUCCUAACUCUUCCCAAAUCUGGCUGAAGAAAUCUCAGCGCUACCUAAUCUGGACCUACCAAACCAGAGUAACCCAAAGGAGAAUACAAGAGAAAGAGCUGUUGCCAUAACCUUGCAAGGCUUAAAAUCCAACCAUGGCCAAGAAGAAACCCCAACAAACAAUAGAAAACAUAUCUCCGAAAGGAAACCAUGGACUUGUAAAGCUGUCGAUUUGAGGAGAGGAAAAGAGAGACCAUGGUCUUCAAAACCAUGAAGCACCGACAAGUAAACUUUAGAAUUGCCGACUCUUUAAUCCCCAAGUCGUCUUCCUUGACUCUACCCUAAAAACAAGAAACCUGCAUUUUGCCCCCCAAGAAACCAAAGCCAUACAGAUCACUAAAGAAAAAUCCUCCCUUUAAGUACAAGAUCUGUACCACAAAUCAAAACUAAAAGCAUAUCUACACCCAAUUAGAGGGUGGGGAAGGAGACAAGCCCACUCUUCCAUCGCUGGUCCCGGAGACAAUUGUAGCCUUUGAUCUUGCAAAACGGUGCAGAUGGUUAGGACGUUCAAGCCUGCAGGUUGCGCCCAAUGGUCUACCCAGUAAAUUGGGCCAACUAGACCUGGACACCACAAAAUGUAACAGGUGACUUGGGCCUCAGAAGGGAGUGCACAAAUUUAAUGUUUAACUGCAGUUCAAUAAAUCAAUUAUUGCAAUUAAAUUAAAAUAUGAUUUGGGCUUAGGCUAUGGGCUCAUGAAGCCCUAAAACAAACGUGGGCCCAAAUUAGAGUUUCCCUCUUAAAAGUAUUAGUGGUCAUAUCCCUUUUUUUUUUGGGGGAAAUAUUAGUGGUCAUUUCGCUUCUUCUUUUCACUGUGAAGUGUCAACUUCUUCCUGUUCUUCAUCUCGCGUCCACGUUGACCAGCAGUCAUCUCAGCCCAGGGAUAUCCUCUCGCCGGAGAAACAUCGUGCUCCUUCUAUCUAACCUUCUGUUACCACAUCGCGAUAAUGACUCCAGAGUAUGAUUACCUUUUCAAGCUUCUUCUGAUUGGAGAUUCUGGUGUUGGCAAAUCCUGUCUUCUUCUGAGAUUUGCUGUAGGGUCUAAAUCUGCUGCUGAAAUUUUAGGAAUAUAUGUUGAACUUGCUUACUAUUAACUCAAUCUUUUGCAGUUUACAUGAUCUAUAUUACUUAUUUAAAUGAAACUUAUCUAAGGGACUGAAAUGCCUAUUUAAAGAAAACUAGUAGUAUAACUGAAUUUUCAAUCUACUCUUUCAACUCUUCAAUUGCACCAAUUGAAUUCUCAUACUCUCUCUGUGAAAUAAUGUGGUUUCUAUCAUGAAACAGGUAAAGUUUCAGCAUUAUGGUUUGCGUUGUCAUGUGACGACCUAAUUUGCGAACACAAACUUCUUUUUCUACCCCAACCCUCCCUUACCUCCUUUUCCCUUUCCUUGUGUUUUUUAGGCCUUUCCCCUUCUCUCGUUAAAACUUUCAACCUUAACAUUCUUCUUCUUCUCAGCUUGUAUUUAUUGUCAAUACUUAUCAAAUUUGUCAGUCUUCUCUUCCUCUCUUUUUUCUUCAUCUUAUCCUUCAAUACUUGUUUUUUCCCCUUUUCUUUUUAUUGUUCUUUUUUCAUCAACUCUCACAGAUCUACUCAAUGGUGAUGUUUUAUCAACUUUUGGAUGAGGAAACUGUGGUUAAUUGUAUUUGUUAUUAAUUAUACCCUCCAAAUAAUGUGAAAUUUUCAAUUUGUUUUUUCAUUUUUGUCUGGUGGGGAAAAGUGAAUUAAAUUCAGAUAUGGUAGUAGAAUUAGCAUAAAUAGUGCUCAGUUACUAACAAAAAUGGGUACCAUAAUCAUGCUUCCACUCAAGUACUGCAAUGCCUUGGUUCUUAAUUUAUUGAAAACUUAUAUUCAAGAAAAAGUAUUGAAAAUUUUAAACUUAACAACAGUUUUGUUUUAAUGAAAUUUAUAAUUCACAUUGAUUUUAAAUAUCAAAAUGUUCAUCCAUGAAAUAGUUCAUACUAUAAAGACG